GACGAACGCUGGCGGCGUGCUUAACACAUGCAAGUCGAACGAUGAAGCCGGAGCUUGCUCUGGUGAAUUAGUGGCGAACGGGUGAGUAACACGUGAGUAACCUGCCCUUGACUCUGGGAUAACUGCGGGAAACUGUAGCUAAUACCGGAUACGACCCUCGGAGGCAUCUCCUGGGGGUUGAAAGAAUUUCGGUCAAGGAUGGACUCGCGGCCUAUCAGCUAGUUGGUGAGGUAAAGGCUCACCAAGGCGACGACGGGUAGCCGGCCUGAGAGGGUGACCGGCCACACUGGGACUGAGACACGGCCCAGACUCCUACGGGAGGCAGCAGUGGGGAAUAUUGCACAAUGGGCGCAAGCCUGAUGCAGCAACGCCGCGUGAGGGAUGACGGCCUUCGGGUUGUAAACCUCUUUUAGCAGGGAAGAAGCGAAAGUGACGGUACCUGCAGAAAAAGCACCGGCUAACUACGUGCCAGCAGCAGCCGCCG
rnacentral:rRNA from 1 species